rnacentral:lncRNA from 1 species
AAUAUAGUCGGAUCGCAUGUAAAAAUAGGUUUAAUUCUACUUGAGAGAGAUUGUUAAACAAAUUAGGAAUAUUGGUCUUCAUAAUUGAAUCGUGUUGUCAAUUUUAUAAAAUUCGAAUUAAAGGGGAUUGAUAUAAGGGGAUUCGGGAUCCUAGUACGCAUUUCGUUAUCACAUUUUUAUAAAACUUGCAUUUAGUUAUAAUCACGCAUUUAAUCUAGUUAAUUUAGGCUUUAUAUUUAUAAGUAGGUUAUUAAAUCAUAAUUUAGUUAACGAAAAUAUCAAGAAUUUCUAUUGUUUCGGUUAAGGCGACGAUAGGUAAAAUUGAACUAAUCAAUCUUUGUGGGAUGAUAUUUGAACUCAUUUAAUCCACUUUAUUACUUGUUAAUGAACCGUACACUUGCGAUAGUUUAAAAUCGAAAGAAAUAGUUUCGCGAACAAGUUUUUGGUGCCGUUGCCGGGGAUUGAGUUCAGUUUAAUUUUUUUUUCUAGGCACUAAUUUGAAAUUUAAUUUUAGUUUCUCUUUUAGUUUUUUUUUAUUUUUUUUUUUGUCUUUGUUUUGUUUUUAUUAUUCGACCUAUCUUUUUAGUAUCUAAGCGCUACCCUUAUUUUUCUCUUAAAUUUGCAUGCUAAGAUCGACUAGAGGAGAAUUGAUUCCGGUCGAUCCUGAAAUUGAACGCACUUUUCAUCGACUACAAAGAGAGAACAGAGAAGCAAAAUUGUAAAUGGCUAACGAACUAAACAAUCCUAUUAUCCCAGCCAAUGAAGGAGAGACAGUGAACGAAGGAAAUGAGAUUUUGGGCUACUUCUUGACUCCUCAAGUGAUUCAAAGUCAGUCCAGCAUUGUGUAUCCACCAUUUGGGCAACCCAAUUUUCAAUUGAAGAUGAAUGUGAUAUAGCUGUUCCAAAAUGGACAUCAAUUUUAUGGCAGAGCCGAAGAAAAUCCACAUACACACAUAUCUUGAUUCUUGGAUAUGUGUCAACACUUCAGAUAUCAAGGAAUCUCGGAUGAUGCUAUUAGGCUAAGGCUUUUUCUACACACCUUGCGGGACAAGGCACUUGAAUGGUUGGAUUCGCUUCCUAUUGCAAGAAUCACUACUUGGAAUGACCUGGCUCACAAAUUCUGCACGAAGUACUUCUCACUAGCCAAGAUAGCUAAAAUGAGACAUGAAAUAUCCAUUUUCAGCCAGGGAGAAUCUGAAUCAUUUAACGAAGCCUAGAACAGAUUCAAGAAUAUGCUCCAGAAGUGCCCUCAACAUGGGUUCGACAAAAAGACCCAAAUCCGAUUCUUUUAUGUAGGGUUACUCCCGUACUUCAAAAUCAUGGUGGACUCAUCAUCAAAUGACUCAAUUUCUACACGAACAAUCGAUGGAGCACUCGAAUUAUUUGAAAGAAUAACUACUUCAGCGAUGUGGGCAUCUAAGCGGGUAACUCAGAAGAAACCUCCGGGUGUUUAUGAGGUCGAUACUUAUUCAGCCAUAUCUGCGAAGAUUGACUCAUUGUUUCACAAGGUAGAAAGCAUAUCACAAACAACACAAAAUAAGAAGUUUAGCUGUGAAGAAUGUGGAGCUGAGCAUAAAACAUCAGAGUGUCCAAUUUUAAUGCAAGGAGUUAAGCAGACAGAUUUUGCACAAUGGGGGCAACGCCAAUAGAAUAAUCAAUAUGGGGAAACAUACAAUAACAGUUGGAAGAAGUAUCUCAAUUUCCCUUGGAGCAACCAGAAUCAGAAUAGGCCACAGGGUCAGUUUCAACAGCAAGAGAAAAAAACCUCAAUUGGAAGACAUGUUCGGGAAAUUUAUGGAGAGGACCAAUCAGUACAUGGAGAAAACUGAAAUCACUCUGUAAAACUAGAAUGCUGCCAUCAAAAACUUGGAAACUCAAAUGGGAUAGAUGGCCAUCGCUUUGACUGGAAGAGCACAGGGAAAUUUGCCAAGUAACUCGAAAAUCAACCUAAAAGAGCAUGCCAAGGCCAUCACAACUCAAAGUAGAGUGCAGCUACCUGAUAUGCAUGUCAAAAGGCCAGUCAAGAACAAAGAGAAUACACCUUUUGUAGAAGAAGAAAUUGUGGAGCAGGAUGAACAACCAAACACAUCUACUGCAAAGGAAAGCUCAGAAAAAGUAGGGAAAAAAGAAACAGUUAUAGUCAACCCAUAUGAACCUCCAAUUCCAUUUCCACAAAGGUUGAAAAACCACAAAAUGGAGCAACAAUACAAGAAAUUUCUGGAAGUCUUCAAGAAGCUCCACAUCAACAUCCCGUUGGCCAAUGAUCUAUUCUAGAUGCCCAGCUAUGCAAAGUUUCUGAAGGACAUAUUAUCAAAUAGACGCAAGCUGGAAGAUCAUGAAAUAGUAAUGCUAACCGAAGAGUGCAGCGCAAGAAUUUAGAAAAAGCUUCCACCAAAAUUGAAAGAUCCAGGGUGUUUCACUGUCCCUUGCACAAUUGGUGAUUUUUAUUUUAAUAAAGCAUUAUGUGAUCUUGGUGCAAGUGUUAACUUGAUGCCACUCUCUAUUUUCAAGAUACUAGGAUUGGGAGAGCCUAAAGUAACUACAGUAACCCUACAGCUGGCUAAUCGAUCACUUACACAUCCACGAGGGAUUAUUGAAGAUGUAUUGGUCAAAGUAGAUAAACUUAUAUUCCCAGUGGACUUCUUAAUUCUAGACAUGGAAGAAGACAAGGACGUGCCUAUCAUAUUGGGGCGACCAUUUUUGGCAACUGCAAGAGCUCUCAUAGAUGUGCAACAAGGAUAAUUGACUCUGAGACUGGGUGAGGAGCAGGCCACUUUUAAUGUUUUCGAAGUAAUGAAAUAUCUCAUCGAGCCAGACAACUGUUUCCAGAUUGAUGAGAUUGACAUAGGAAUCCCCUACAAUUACGAGUUGAAGAAACCGCCGGACAUACAGGAGGCUGAUAUGAUGCACCCUCAAUCCAUUCUCACUAACUCAAAGGAGAUCGAGGUAUACACCCUGGAGUCUCAAACGGAUGAUGAGGGAGAGUCACACCACGUGAAAAAGGACAGAUUUGAAGUGUGGAAGAUAACUGCAAUGCGGAACAAGACCAUAUUGAACAAACUAUACAAGACCUCCCAAGCCAUAUUUAAAGUGCCAUAACACACCUAGGCCAAAAGUCGGGCUAUCGACUAUAAAAUAGCGCUGGUUGGGAGGCAACCCAACGUUCUAUCCUUUCAUUUACUUCGUUUUGCAAUAGUUUAGGAACUUUCCAUUUUUUUUAGCAUUAUCAAUAGUUUUAGGUCAUUGAUCAUACAUCUCUAUCACAUGGAGUCUAGGCAUGGUCUACACGAGUCCCAAUGCACUGAUCACGAGUCAUGAGGUUGAAGUCCUAUUUUAGUCAGUCAUGUGUCUAAUUGAACAAAGUGCAUGUUUUGAAUGAAGUUUCUUUGGUGAUUCACAUUUUUGUGAUGUAAACCUUAUGUUGAGACAUAAAUUAUGCAUUCUGCACACCAACAAUGUACACAUGCACCUUGAAGCAAAUUUGUGUGAUUUGUUCACUACGUAGGUUAUUUCUUGCCUCAAUUGCAUCUGUUUACACCAUGUGAACUAGUACGCAUACUUUGCACUUUUACAAGAUGUCACUAAAAAGAAUGUCACAGGGAAAGGAGAAACAUUGCUAGUCCUAGUUUUCAUUCACCACCUCCAUAUAAAUCAGGGAAGUACUCGUAGCCCAUCUUGCGCUUUUAGUUUAUUAUUGUCCUUCAGUUAUGUCCGUUUACACUUUUAUUUCAUCUUCACAUUGAGGACAAUGUAUUAUCUAAGUUUGAGGGUGGGUGACGUAAUCCUGGACACGAACAUCUUUUCACCAUUUUGCCUAUAUACAUCAAUAUAUAUGUUUCAUGACUGCAUAUUAUGUGCUUGAUGAGUGUUUAAAAAAAAUCUUUGUAUUUUAUUCAGUCUACUAUAUUUCCAUUUUUGCAUGCUUGUGUGGGCUUGAUAGCCUUGUCGACUAUGAUGUGACUAUUGGACUGGUAUAAUUCAUAAACUUUGGAUAUAGUGCUGAAUAGAUUAACCAAUACUUGUGAUGCAAUACUUAACAUUAUCUAUGCACGCUAUUCAUGCUUGACAUGUUAGGUGAAUGACUGGAUUUUGAGUAUAAAGUAGGAAAAGAAUGAUAACCCUCUAUUGAAUUAACACGCAAACCACCUUAAGACAGUUUGGAAUUGGUUGAGCUAUUAUAGGGAACAUUGAGAUAAGUGGGGGGCUCCGUGCAUGAAAUUUUAUUGUGUGGAUUGCCUAGACUAGUGAGGUGAAGAUUAGGUGAAAAUCUUAAAUUAGGGGUUGGUUUUGAAAACUAAAUGCUAGAACAAUAAGGGCAUAAAAUUAAUUUGUGAGAAUAAGACACUUCUUUUCAUGCCUUUAUGACCCGAGCAAGUCAGCCUGUAAGAAAUUUCAAAAUCUGAUGCCCUAAGGUCAACUAGCCUGGGAGUCACCAGCCUAAAGCUCGCUAAAGGGGUCAUAUAGAAAGCAAGAGAGAAAGAGGUUAAUAAAAAGUCAUCUGAUCGAGCCUUUAUAACUCGAGUGAAUAAGCCUGCAAGGGUUUAAAAUCUGGUGCCCUAAAACAAAUUAGUUUGGGAGUGAUCGGCCUAAAGCUCGCUAAAGGAGUUAUAUAGAAAGCAAAUGAGAAGAUGAUAAUGAUAUUAAAAAAAAAAGAAAAUUAGAAAAAUUAAAGAAAAGUGAAAAAAACAAAAGAGAGGUAAUAACAUGAAGAAAAGCCCUUGGACAUUUGGUUGAAAAAACUAUACCUUUAAGGCGAGGCAAGUAACCUAAUUUAAUUUUGAGUGUCAAAGCAAUCAAACUUAGGAGAGCCUUCACUUGUUAACAUGUAAACUUGUGAUAGUGAGAUCAAUCCAAACUACAAGAGGGUAAGGACUACGACUAUGUAAAUUCCUAAUUUUAAAACACAAUCCCGGGAUAAUUGAGUGAAAAGAAUAAGUUUGGUGGGUUGUGUAUCUCUCGAGUGAGUAAGGAUAUAUUUGACCACUUGGGGUCGGGACUCAAAUUCAGCAUGAACCUGAUAUGUUGGCAUGAAUUCACACACACACACGUCGAUUUGCAUUUAACAAGUAAAGGUUGAUGCCAUUUUUGCACUGAUAAAUUUUCAUAAAGUCAAAUACUUAGUCCAAUCCUGAGCCACAGCAGGGUAUUAAGUCAGGUUUGUUCAGAAUUAAGUCACUAUCUUGUUUGAGGACAAACAAUAGUUCAAGUUUGGGGGGUUUGAUAACAAACAUGACUUAAUAAUGAGCAAAAUGAUUGAAUUGUGACUUAAUCGCGUUAUAUUUGUGAAUUGUAGGGAACAUCGAUGAACAUGGUGAAAUCCAGUAGAAAAGAGCCGAAAAAAGACUAAAAUGGAGCAAAGUGAUAAUUCGGGGAUGAAGUUCCAAAUAAUCCAUAGAUAAGAUGGGAAAUGGAAUGAAGAUUCAAGAGUUUUAGAGGUCAAUUGGAUGAGGAAAGGAGUCAAAAGGUGAAAUAUGAUCAAAGUAUUAUCAAGUAUCAACUUUCAGGCGAAAAAAUGAUGCUCGUGAUUUCUAGUCUCUACUUGAGAUCCAUUUUUGACAUAGUAAACAUCAGAAUUUGAGGAAGUCUAUUUCUAUUAAAAAUGUAUAUCUUUGGGUUUUCUUCCCAGUCCACUUUGAAUCACUUCAAUGGGAGAUCAGGAGAGAAAGUUACGACCAAGAUACUAAAAGCUAUCCAGCGGAAAGAAUGGUACAACUAUGUGAUAUAGUAUAAAUUCUAUGCGGUCGCAUGGAAGCCUCUCGAGAAUUUUUUCUCAAAAUUUUUUUACUCAAUGCAACAACAUAGAAAUGUACUAUGUGGUCGCAUAGAACAAGAUUCGGGGACGAUUCAGCAGUUUCCUUAUUUCGCCAAAACUCUUAUGGAAAGGAGAUUUUUAGGGUUCUAUAUAAACUAAAACUCGACCAGAAUGAUGGGACGCCACUUUUACAGCAAAAGAGGGGGAAUAUACACAAUUUUGGAGGAUUUGGAGAGGAAGAACAAGGCAAAAAUAAGGCAAUCCACUUCAAGAUUCAAGAUUUCACUUCAAAAAUCAAUUGGGUGAUGUUCUUUCUUGGUUUUGAUUAUUUUUUCUCUUUAUUUCCCAUUAUGUUAGGCUAGAUUUUCAUGUGCUAGGAUUUGCGAUGAACUUUAUAUUAUGAACCCUUAAUCUUGAAUUUUAUGAAUUUGACGUUAAAACAUGUUUUUAAUUAUUGAAUGAUUGGCAUGGAUUUUAUUUUCUCUACAAUUAUGUGCACAAUAGUUGUAUGAGCUUUGUGGCUUGUUUUAUCCUCGAGAGAUGGAAAAUAAGUUAGACAUAAUGUUAAUUAUCAUAAAGUUCGAUAGGGGAUAGAAAUAUACUGCUAUGCUUUAUGUGAUCUUUAAGUAUUCAUAAAUAUUUAAUACAUUUUUAUAUGUUCGCAUCCGUCAUAGAAAUAUAGUCGGAUCGCAUGUAAAAAUAGGUUUAAUUCUACUUGAGAAAGAUUGUCAAACAAAUUAGGAAUAUUGGUCUUCAUAAUUGAAUCGUGCUGUCAAUUUUAUAAAAUUCGAAUUAAAGGGGAUUGAUAUAAGGGGAUUCGGGAUCCUAGUACGCAUUUCGUUAUCACAUUUUUAUAAAACUUGCAUUUAGUUAUAAUCACGCAUUUAAUCUAGUUAAUUUAGGCUUUAUAUUUAUAAGUAGGUUAUUAAAUCAUAAUUUAGUUAACGAAAAUAUCAAGAAUUUCUAUUGUUUCGGUUAAGGCGACGAUAGGUAAAAUUGAACUAAUCAAUCUCAGUGGGACGAUAUUCG